rnacentral:misc_RNA from 1 species
AACCAUAGAAACCUGCGGAGUACCUGCGGAAGGAUCAUUACCGAGUGCGGGUCCGCGUGGCCCAACCUCCCACCCGUGCCUACUGUACCCUGUUGCUUCGGCGGGCCCGCCAGCCUUCGGGCUGGCCGCCGGGGGGCGUCUCGCCCCCGGGCCCGUGCCCGCCGGAGACCCCAACAUGAACCCUGUUCUGAAAGCUUGGUGUCUGAGUGUGAUUGUUUGCAAUCAGUUAAAACUUUCAAC